UUCUCUAAAGCGUGGACAGACA
rnacentral:miRNA from 1 species